rnacentral:rRNA from 1 species
ACAUGUCUUUUUGNAUAAAUAAUUUAAAGUCAAAUCUGCCCACUGAUNAAAUUAUUGAAGGGCUGCAGUAUAUUGACUGUACAAAGGUAGCAUAAUCAUUAGUCUUUUGAUUGAAGACUUGUAUGAAAGAUUUGAUGAAAUAUAAACUGUCUCUUAUAUAUUUAUAAAAUUUAAUUUUUUAGUUAAAAAGCUAAAAUUUAUUUAAAAGACGAGAAGACCCUAUAGAGUUUUAUAAUUAUUUUUUAAUUAUUUAUUUAUAAAAAUAAAAAAUUUUUAUUAAAUGAUUAUUUUAUUGGGGUGAUAGAAAAAUUAAAUUAACUUUUUUUAAGUAUUAAACAGGUAUAAUUGAAUAUUUGAUCCAUAAUUUAUGAUUAAAAGAAAAAAUUACCUUAGGGAUAACAGCGUAAUUUUUUUUUUUAGUACAAAUAAAAAAAAAAGUUUGCGACCUCGAUGUUGGAUUAAGAUAAAAUUUAAAUGCAAAAGUUUAAAAUUUUGAUCUGUUCGAUCAUUAAAAUCUUACAUGAUCUGAGUUCAAACCGGUGUAAGCCAGGUUGGUUUCUAUCUUUAAAAAAUUAAAAUAUUUUA